rnacentral:rRNA from 1 species
UACAGAGGGUGCAAGCGUUGUUCGGAAUCAUUGGGCGUAAAGGGCGUGUAGGCGGUUUGUUAAGUCAUGUGUGAAAUCCCUCGGCUCAACCGGGGAACGACGCAUGAAACUGGCAAGCUAGAGUACCAAAGAGGGGGGUGGAAUUCCCGGUGUAGAGGUGAAAUUCGUAGAUAUCGGGAGGAAUACCAGUGGCGAAGGCGCUGACCUGGACGAAGAUUGACGCUGAGGUGCGAAAGCGUGGGGAGCAAACAGG